UAACCAUCCAGCCUCUGUUUAAAAACCUCUAGAUUUAACCACUACAGAAGUAGAAUUACUGGUGUUCCUAAAGGCAAUUUUGGAAGAGUUUGUGAAAGCUGAGGAGUGGGGUGUCUGUCAAACAAAGGCCUUCAGAUUCUGAAUUGAAAGGUGUUACCCCCCUCAUAACAGAGAAAGGGU
rnacentral:lncRNA from 11 species